rnacentral:lncRNA from 1 species
GAUUCGGUAUAAAGAAGGAGAGAAGGGUGACCAGUGGGCUGCCUUGUGCCUGGGUCUGAAGAGAAGAGGAAGAAAGAGGGGAGUCUGAUGGACAAAGCUCUGUGGAGGACGUGGCACUGAGCAGAAACUUGAAACAGAGCUUGACUGGCUGGCAGGAUGAGAAGAAUGGACUCUUGGCUGAAGGGGAAGCAAGCACAAGCACAUAGAGAUGAGGAAGCAUGGGUGGUGGUAUAUAGGGU